CGCCUGGGGAGUACGGGUGAGGUAACGGCUCACCAAGGCAUUGACGGGUAGUUGGUCUGAGAGGAUGAUCAGCCACACUGGGACUGAGACACGGCCCAGACUCCUACGGGAGGCAGCAGUGGGGAAUAUUGCACAAUGGGCGAAAGCCUGAUGCAGCAACGCCGCGUGUGGGAUGACGGCUUUCGGGUUGUAAACCACUUUCAGUGAUGACGAAAAUGACGGUAAUCACAGAAGAAGGUCCGGCCAACUACGUGCCAGCAGCCGCGGUAACACGUAGGGACCGAGCGUUGUCCGGAUUUAUUGGGCGUAAAGAGCUCGUAGGCGGUUCUGUAAGUCGGAUGUGAAAACUCAGGGCUCAACCCUGAGACGCCAUCUGAUACUGCAGUGACUAGAGUCCGGUAGAGGAAGAUGGAAUUCCUGGUGUAGCGGUGGAAUGCGCAGAUAUCAGGAGGAACACCAAUGGCGAAGGCAGUCUUCUGGGCCGGUACUGACGCUGAGGAGCGAAAGCAUGGGGAGCAAACAGGAUUAGAUACCCUGGUAGUCCAUGCCGUAAACGUUGGGCACUAGGUGUGGGGUCUUCUAACGGAUUCCGUGCCGUAGCUAACGCAUUAAGUGCCCCGCCUGGGGAGUACGG
rnacentral:rRNA from 1 species